AAAUGAAGAACAGGAUCUGAGUGAGGACUGGCACUGUGCAGCGAGACAAGCAAAGAGGGAGAGCGAGGGAGCGAGAAAGGACGGACAUGAGAGGACAGAGAGCGAAGUGGCUGUGGUGGUGGAGGGGGGAGUCCUCCAGCCUGUCGAAAAGGAAGCCACACAGAAACGGGCAAGGAGAGAGAAGGGGAGCGCUCAGCACAGUAUGAUUUUUGCUUCUUCUUCAACAUGGAAAAAUGAACACCAGGAAGACUGGGGCAAAAGGUUUUUUUUUUCAUUUUUGAGUUGUCACAAUCAUCUGAUGCACGAUGAUUUUGAGCAUGUUUGAUUCUGCCAAGACAUGGCCUCAGCAGCAGGGUGAAAGAGGUGGCAUUCCAAAGUGGUGGCUGUUGGACAAUUUAGCAGCAUUUCAUAACAAUUUCCCAAAAUGGAAUCAUAAGAUGAUCUUCAAAUGCCAACGUUCCCCAUCAAAACCUGUCGCACCGACCCAUGCCGUUUUCUUCAUGUUCCGUAAUCCAUUCUCUUUGAAACAUGGGAACAUUGUGCAUGACAUGGUGCACCACAGAAAAGAUGGCAAUCCACUGUGUGGCUUCUUUUUUUUUUAAUGGGACUGAAGCGACAUUAAAGUUGUCUAUUUUAAAAUGACUGAAAAAAUGCCAUUCAGAGUGUUAUAUUCUGCUUUCUAUGGCUCACAGCGACCCUGCUCAAGACAAGAGGUUGUGGACAAGGGAAUGGAAUGGAAGGGAAUGUGCAAGACAGGUCAUGUUUCUCCUGUGCAUCAAGCAGCACUGCAGUGUAAUAGAAGAAAAAAUAAAAAGAAGAGAAAAACCUGCUGGUUGAGAGCA
rnacentral:lncRNA from 1 species